GACGAACGCUGGCGGCGUGCUUAACACAUGCAAGUCGAACGGAAAGGCCCUGCUUUUGUGGGGUGCUCGAGUGGCGAACGGGUGAGUAACACGUGAGUAACCUGCCCUUGACUUUGGGAUAACUUCAGGAAACUGGGGCUAAUACCGGAUAGGAGCUCCUGCUGCAUGGUGGGGGUUGGAAAGUUUCGGCGGUUGGGGAUGGACUCGCGGCUUAUCAGCUUGUUGGUGGGGUAGUGGCUUACCAAGGCUUUGACGGGUAGCCGGCCUGAGAGGGUGACCGGCCACAUUGGGACUGAGAUAAGGCCCAGACUCCUACGGGAGGCAGCAGUGGGGAAUAUUGCACAAUGGGCGGAAGCCUGAUGCAGCAACGCCGCGUGCGGGAUGACGGCCUUCGGGUUGUAAACCGCUUUCGCCUGUAACGAAGCGUGAGUGACGGUAAUGGGUAAAGAAGCACCGGCUAACUACGUG
rnacentral:rRNA from 1 species